ACAGGUUUACUCCGAGUGUGAGAUAUAAAUGUGUCCAGCACAAAACACCAAGAACAUGGAGCAUGUUUAAAAAAAAAGUCUGUAAUUCAUUUUCUAUUUGGAAUAUUUGAGACAGUUCACAUGUUCAAAGAGCCACAGAAACCAAAGCUUGUGCUCGGCAGCAGUUUAAACAUUACAUAAGGAGGUGUUUAUAUAACUGCUCUCCCCUCACUUUGCUCUGGAUCGAGUUCAGCAGCAUAUUUGGAGAAGGUGCAGCUCGGUGUCUGUCAGUCGCCUCGUGACUCACGGAGCAGAGGGUUAAACAGUAGACGUCAAAAUACACAGGGACGUUGCUCAGAUCAGUUACUGAGGGAAGAGCAGCAGUGGUGGAAGUUUUGAACCUGAAGAAAACAAAUAGACAAAUCAGAUAAGAUGAGAUUUGUCUUAUUGAUCUUCUGUGGAGGAAAACUUCAAGUGACAAGGUAGAGGCACAAGGGGAAAAAUUAUUUCCUCAACAACCAAAAGGACAGAAGCACGUUGACGGAAAAACGAUUCUGGAUUAACAAGUGACAUAUGGUCGGCUGCUGCAGCACGAGAUAAAUGACAAGAACAGGCAUCGCAGGCUGGAGAGAACACACAACUGAGGGCAGAGCGCCAGAGAGACCGGGCGACGGGGGGGAGGGUCGACGAGAGGCUUUAACUGAGCUUAUGUUUGACCUUUGUGACCUUUCAGGGACAUCUGACGCUGUGUGGUUAGAGGAGGGUCGGCACACAUUCUCAACAAGUUGUGGUCCAUUGUUAAAGCACACAAGGAUAAUAAAGGCUUCUCUGAUCUGCAGCUUUGUGUUGCACAGAUUAUGACACAAUAGAAACCUGGCUACUCAUUUGAUAUAUAUGAAUAAACAAGAAACCCAAACUGAAAGUCCCACGUGAUGACUACACACGUCUCUGCGGUGGUUUUGCAUCACUUUAAAGUCCUUUAGCAUCUUGUGUCCAAUCAACCGUUUGAAUCCUUAUUGAACACUUCAGUGGUUGUUUAGUGGUCAUUGUGUAUCUAUGUGUAGUUUUUUCCUCUUUAUGUAACUUCUCUAUUUCUCUGAGUUUUUAUGUUUUGCCUCAUGUUGUCACUUAGCAUCUCUGUAAAUUCGUUUUUGCAUCAAUUUGAUGCAAACUCUGUGUGUCUGUGAGUGUUUGGUGUGUGUAGCUGGUCAUUUGGUAUCUCAAUGGUCAUUAUUGAUUCCUCAUUCUAGUUUUGCAUCUGUUUACACACAUUCUACAUUUGAUCUGUGGGUGUUUAGUGUGUCUGUGUGCUAGUUUUACAUCCCUGUGGAGUAAUUUUUGUGGAUUUUUGGUUCUUUUCAGUGCAAUUUUGACAGGUUGCAUCUCUUUUGUAGGUAUUUGUUUAAAUUGGUGUUUCUUUGUGGUGAUUUUUUGUCUGUCUGAGGUCAUUUUGUAUCUGUACAAUCAUUUAUUCCCAUGUUGUGGUAGUUUUGUUUUGCUUUGUAGUAAUUUGUAUGUAUUUUGUAGCUUUGCAUCUUUCUGUUGUUGUACUGGAUCUAGUUUAUUAUGUCUAUGUUAGAGCUGCAUGUUUGAAACAUGUGUUUCUUUGAGGUUAUGUGAGUCUUGUAUAAACGUUGAGCAGAUUUAAGGUCCCA